UUGCAAUGAUGACCAUUUAGGACACCUUUGUAUGAACCAUGAAAAGAACCCAUAAAUCUGAGCAAU